rfam:Ixodes scapularis strain Wikel colony gcontig_1107729165198, whole genome shotgun sequence.
CCCUGGUUAGCUCAGUUGGUAGAGCGCUCCAAUUGUAAUGGAGAGGUCCCGGGUCGAUACCCGGACCAGGCG